AGGUGCCAAGGCUAGCCCAAGUCUUAAUCCUCCCCAGACCAUUUGAGGAGAUGUUAUGUUCAGAUCACACCUUCCUUGGGUACCUUAUGUGAAUCUAUGAACCAGGGCCUUCAGUUGAACAAGGUGAUUAUCAUCCUCGGGAGGAGCAUUUUAGAUCAGUUGUGGGAGGUCAGCGCAGGGUGGGGGUGGUAUUACUUCAUCUCUAGGGCUUCAUAUCUUAGUCAGGAAAAGGGGAAAUUACCAAAUUUGCCCAACCUGCAAGAGAUAUGAGAAGGUGAAUUAGGGCUUGUUAUUUUCAUUGAGGCAAAUAGAUGAAAGAAAGAAUGAACAGUUUAACCACUGGGAUCAUAUCCAUAUUAUCAGGCUAAAAGCCUCCCUUUCCAAUGGUACAGAUCCUUAUUCCUGAUGCACUUACUUUGGCUGCAAAUAAACUAUAGAGUCAGAUUCCACUUCUCCUUGUCCAUUUAUUUUUUUCUCUUGGUAUCUAUGACACUACGCUUUCCUCAUUUUCCUCCUAUCUCUGUGUUCACAGCAUGUGCUGGCUCUUCCUCUACUCAGCCCCUAAUUGCUGCAGCACCCUCUGGCCUGGGCCCCUGCCCUUCUCCAUCUUCACACUCCUCCUAGGAGAGAAUUGCUAAAAGCCACGGGUCCCAGUGUGGGUUCUGCACCCCCGGCAUCGUCAUGAGCAUGUACACGCUGCUCCGGAACCAGCCCGAGCCCACCAUGGAGGAGAUCGAGGAUGCCUUCCAAGGGAACUUGUGCCGCUGCACAGGCUACAGACCCAUCCUCCAGGGCUUCCGGACCUUCGCCAGGGACAAGUUGAUCCUCACUCCAAUCAAACAGUCGUCUCUCAAUUUGAUUCAGAGUUGAGGGGUGAGUCACAGACUCCCAUGCUUUUCACUGACCUUUAGGGUUGGCACAUUACAAAAAGGAGUGUUUCAUCCAAAGAGCUGCAAAGGGGUGGAGACGGAGACAAGCCUGUGAGGAUGGAAAACACCACACCCUGCGGAGUGCUGUUAAUGAUGAGGAACCAGGAGACAUGAAUUUAAAUGAAAAUGAUUGAAAGCUCAGAUACGGACUCUGCAGACCUGGGUUAAAAUCCCAUUCCAUCACUUAAUUGAUGCAUGACUUUGAGCAAAUUUCUCUGUUUCUAAAAUGGGGAUUAUAAUAAUACCUCCUUAUAGUGUCUGUGGAACGUACUUCUUGUAAAGCUCUUAGAACAAUGCCCGGCACAUCUUAAGUGUUCAAUAAAUGGCAACUAUAAAUUA